GAACGCAUAUUGCGCUCUUUGGUAUUCCGAAGAGCAUGCUUGUUUGAGUAUCAGUAAACACCUCAAAGACUUCAAUUUGUUUUGAAUGGCUUUGGACUUGAGCAAUCCCAACACCAGUCUUUACGAUCGGUGGAGGGUUGCUUGAAAUGCAGGUGCAGCUGGACAUUCUCCUGAGCUAAAAGCAUAUUUAUUUAGUCCCGUCAAACGGAUUAUUACUUUUUGCUGCAGCUAACAUAAAGGGAGUUUUGACCAUUAUGGCUGACUGAUGCAGGAUUUCACAGAGAAAAGGCCGGCAACGGUUUUGUCUCUGUCAAACUCGAUCUCAAAUCAAGUAAGACUACCCGCUGAACUUA
rnacentral:misc_RNA from 1 species